UAGUCCUAGCCGUAAACGAUGCUCGCUAGGUGUCAGUCACGGUGCGACCGUGAUUGGUGCCGUAGGGAAGCCGUGAAGCGAGCCACCUGGGAAGUAUGGCCGCAAGGCUGAAACUUAAAGGAAUUGGCGGGGGAGCACUACAACGGGUGGAGCCUGCGGUUUAAUUGGAUUCAACGCCGGAAAUCUCACCGGGGGCGACAGCGGAAUGAUUGCCGGGCUGAAGACUCUGCAUGACUAGCUGAGAGGAGGUGCAUGGCCGUCGUCAGUUCGUACUGUGAAGCAUCCUGUUUAGUCAGGCAACGAGCGAGACCCACGCCAACAGUUGCCAGCAUGUUCUCCGGAAUGAUGGGGACACUGUUGGGACCGCCUCUGCUAAAGAGGAGGAAGGAAUGGGCAACGGUAGGUCAGCAUGCCCCGAAUUAUCCGGGCUACACGCGGGCUACAAUGGGCAGGACAAUGGGUAUCGACACCGAAAGGUGAAGGUAAUCCCCUAAACCUGUCCUUAGUUCGGAUUGUGGGCUGCAACUCGCCCACAUGAAGCUGGAAUCCGUAGUAAUCGCGUUUCAAAAUAGCGCGGUGAAUCUGUCCCUGCUCCUUGCACACACCGCCCGUCAAACCACCCGAGUGAGGUCUGGAUGAGGCUGCGGUCGUUGCCGCAGUCGAAUCUGGGUUUCGCAAGGGGGGUU
rnacentral:rRNA from 1 species